CUCAGAAACUUAAAGGAAUUGACGGGGGCCCGCACAAGCGGUGGAGUAUGUGGUUAAUUCGAUGCAACGCGAAGAACCUUACCUGGUCUUGACAUCCCGGAGACCCUUAGGAAACUAGGGGGUGCUUCCAUCUGGAAGAAUCUGGAGACAGGUGCUGCAUGGCUGUCGUCAGCUCGUGUCGUGAGAUGUUGGGUUAAGUCCCGCAACGAGCGCAACCCUUGCCUUUAGUUGCCAGCAGUUCGGCUGGGCACUCUAAAGGGACUGCCGGUGUUAAACCGGAGGAAGGUGGGGAUGACGUCAAGUCCUCAUGGCCUUUAUGACCAGGGCUACACACGUACUACAAUGGCCGAUACAAAGGGCAGCGACACUGCGAGGUGAAGCCAAUCCCGUAAAAUCGGUCUCAGUCCGGAUUGGAGUCUGCAACUCGACUCCAUGAGGUUGGAAUCGCUAGUAAUCGUGGAUCAGCAUGCCACGGUGAAUACGUUCCCGGGCCUU
rnacentral:rRNA from 1 species